GCCUGGGUAGCUCAGUUGGUAGAGCACGUCUUUGGUAAAGACGAGGCCGGCGGUUCAAUCCCGCCCUCAGGCU
rnacentral:tRNA from 1 species